GGCCUGACUCAUGUGUCAUGCAAAGGAUGGCUCUUGAAAAAAUGGAAAGAAGCAGGGGCUGCUAAGGGAGAGAUGUGAAGGUCGAGGCAGCUCUGAGCUCCUGACAGCUGCCCUUCUAGCCUUCUCCUGCCUCCCAUAGAGAGAUGCUAUGGGCUCUUGGUCCAGAGACUCAAAUUCAAGGAAAAGAAGAGGCAACAUUUGCAGUGUUGAUCCCUGAGUUGAACAAAGAGUUGUCAAGGAGAAGAAACCACCAAGAAAUGUAAUCUACCUCCAGAACUCAGGAACUCAGGUAGCCUUAAGAAGCAAUGAAAUAUGGAUUGGCAGAAGCAUCUUCACCGCCAUCUUCAGAUAUAAUUAAUGCAGCCAUUGAAUUUGGUUGAAUAUCCACCUACAAUUAGCACAUUGCCCAUUACAGAUUUUUGCUGCCU
rnacentral:lncRNA from 1 species